AACGAACGCUGGCGGCAGGCCUAACACAUGCAAGUCGGGCGGCAGCGGGGGGAAGCUUGCUUCCCCGCCGGCGAGCGGCGGACGGGUGAGUAAUGUCUGGGAAACUGCCUGAUGGAGGGGGAUAACUACUGGAAACGGUAGCUAAUACCGCAUAACGUCUUCGGACCAAAGUGGGGGACCUUCGGGCCUCAUGCCAUCAGAUGUGCCCAGAUGGGGAUUAGCUUGUUGGUGGGGUAACGGCCCACCAAGGCGACGAUCCCUAGCUGGUCUGAGAGGAUGACCAGCCAAACUGGAACUGGGAAACGGUCCAGACUCCUACGGGAGGCAGCAGGGGGGAAUAUUGCACAAUGGGCGCAAGCCUGAUGCAGCCAUGCCGCGUGUAUGAAGAAGGCCUUCGGGUUGUAAAGUACUUUCAGCGGGGAGGAAGGUGUUAAGGUUAAUAACCACAGCAAUUGACGUUACCCGCAGAAGAAGCACCGGCUAACUCCGUGCCAGCAGCCGCGGUAAUAC
rnacentral:rRNA from 1 species